AUGCGCGAAAGCGUGACGAGGUUAAUCCGAGUGGCUUCCGCUGAGGAAGUCUUUUGCCGACUUUAAAAAGGUCGGAGAAUAAGGGGAGGGCAAGUCUGGUGUCAGCCGCCGCGGUAAUACCAGCUCCUCGAGUGGUCGGGGCGAUUAUUGGGCCUAAAGCAUCCGUAGCCGGUUCCGUAGGUCUCCUGCAAAAUCCAGUCGCUCAACGAUUGGCCCGCAGGAGAUACCGCGGGACUAGGAGGCGGGAGAGGUGGACGGUACUCCACGUGUAGGGGUAAAAUCCUUUGAUCCGUGGAAGACCACCAGUGGCGAAGGCGGUCCACCAGAACGCGCUCGACGGUGAGGGAUGAAAGCUGGGGGAGCGAACCGGAUUAGAUACCCCCGUAGUCC
rnacentral:rRNA from 1 species